rnacentral:rRNA from 1 species
CCGUCAAUUCCUUUGAGUUUUAGUCUUGCGACCGUACUCCCCAGGCGGUCUACUUAUCGCGUUAGCUGCGCCACUAAAGCCUCAAAGGCCCCAACGGCUAGUAGACAUCGUUUACGGCAUGGACUACCAGGGUAUCUAAUCCUGUUUGCUCCCCAUGCUUUCGCACCUCAGCGUCAGUGUUAGGCCAGAUGGCUGCCUUCGCCAUCGGUAUUCCUCCAGAUCUCUACGCAUUUCACCGCUACACCUGGAAUUCUACCAUCCUCUCCCACACUCUAGCUAACCAGUAUCGAAUGCAAUUCCCAAGUUAAGCUCGGGGAUUUCACAUUUGACUUAAUUAGCCGCCUACGCGCGCUUUACGCCCAGUAAAUCCGAUUAACGCUUGCACCCUCUGUAUUACCGCGGCUGCUGGCACAGAGUUAGCCGGUGCUUAUUCUGCGAGUAACGUCCACUAUCUCUAGGUAUUAUCUAAAGUAGCCUCCUCCUCGCUUAAAGUGCUUUACAACCAUAAGGCCUUCUUCACACACGCGGCAUGGCUGGAUCAGGCUUGCGCCCAUUGUCCAAUAUUCCCCACUGCUGCCUCCCGUAGGAGUCUGGGCCGUGUCUCAGUCCCAGUGUGGCGGAUCAUCCUCUCAGACCCGCUACAGAUCGUCGCCUUGGUAGGCCUUUACCCCACCAACUAGCUAAUCCGACUUAGGCUCAUCUAUUAGCGCAAGGUCCGAAGAUCCCCUGCUUUCUCCCGUAGGACGUAUGCGGUAUUAGCAUUCCUUUCGAAAUGUUGUCCCCCACUAAUAGGCAGAUUCCUAAGCAUUACUCACCCGUCCGCCGCUAAGAUCAGUAGCAAGCUACCUCUCUCCGCUCGACUUGCAUGUGUUAAGCCUGCCGCCAGCGUUCAAUCUGAGCCAGGGAUCAAACA